rnacentral:rRNA from 1 species
GACGAACUGUCCUAACGUUGUUCGGAAUCACUGGGCUUAAAGGGCGCGUAGGCGGUCGGACAAGUCGGGGGUGAAAUCCUGCAGCUCAACUGUAGAAGUGCCUUCGAUACUGUUCGUCUGGAGGGAGAUAGGGGUGUGCGGAACUUCCAGUGGAGCGGUGAAAUGCGUUGAUAUUGGAAGGAACGCCGGAGGCGAAAGCGGCGCACUGGAUCUCUUCUGACGCUGAGGCGCGAAAGCUAGGGGAGCAAACGGG